rnacentral:rRNA from 1 species
UACGUAGGGUGCAAGCGUUGUCCGGAAUUAUUGGGCGUAAAGAGCUCGUAGGCGGUCUGUCGCGUCUGCUGUGAAAACUCGGGGCUUAACCCCGAGCCUGCAGUGGAUACGGGCAGACUAGAGGUAGGUAGGGGAGAAUGGAAUUCCCGGUGUAGCGGUGAAAUGCGCAGAUAUCGGGAGGAACACCGGUGGCGAAGGCGGCGACCUGGUUCGAUACUGACACUGAGGUGCGAAAGCGUGGGGAGCAAACAGG